rnacentral:rRNA from 1 species
CCUACGGGCGGCAGCAGUAGGGAAUCUUGCACAAUGGGCGCAAGCCUGAUGCAGCCAUGCCGCGUGUGUGAAGAAGGCCUUCGGGUUGUAAAGCACUUUCAGCGGGGAGGAAGGCGGUGAGGUUAAUAACCUCAUCGAUUGACGUUACCCGCAGAAGAAGCACCGGCUAACUCCGUGCCAGCAGCCGCGGUAAUACGGAGGGUGCAAGCGUUAAUCAGAAUUACUGGGCGUAAAGCGCACGCAGGCGGUCUGUCAAGUCGGAUGUGAAAUCCCCGGGCUCAACCUGGGAACUGCAUUCGAAACUGGCAGGCUAGAGUCUUGUAGAGGGGGGUAGAAUUCCAGGUGUAGCGGUGAAAUGCGUAGAGAUCUGGAGGAAUACCGGUGGCGAAGGCGGCCCCCUGGACAAAGACUGACGCUCAGGUGCGAAAGCGUGGGGAGCAAACAGGAUUAGAUACCCGGGUAGUC